UAAGCUAGAAUAUCCAGAAAUGAAUUCUGUUGUUACUAUUACCGGUUACUAGAUACCAUUUAUAAUAUAACAAGGUCUAAUUUGCUGCUUCGACAGUACAAGAAUUAUGUUUUGGGACCUGAGGAAAUGGCAGUCCCCAAGAUUAUUUUGUUUAAUUAUUUGAUAUUAGACAAGCUGAAGCCUCAUAAAAUGAUACUGUAAUAUAUAUAUGUAUCUGUAAGUUGAGUCAUGCAGCACUCUCUUUUAAAUGUUCUUGCUUCUAGAUGGUGGAAAGUCUAAAAGAAGUACAGUGGAUUCAAAGGCCAUGGGAGAGAAAUCCUUUUCUGUUCAUAAUAAUGGUGGGGCAGUGUCAUUUCAGUUUUUCUUUAACAUCAGCACUGAUGACCAAG
rnacentral:lncRNA from 1 species